GGCUGGGGAGGCUGAGAGAGCACAGCUGGAGGGAGGGCUCUGCUCUGCUGCCCCGCUCGCUUAACUGUCGGUGAGCCGAGCCGUGGGAAGACUGCCUGCCCGGCCUCCGCCAGGCCCCGGAGACGGACCCAACGGGGCUGCCUUCCUCCGGGAGGGCCCUCAGCACAGCGUACCCCGCUAAGCGCUGCUCUGCGCCACGGGUCAGCCGCGGAGACCCUGGGGCUGCGUGGGAGCUGCGAGGCUCCAGGCCUGCCCGGCUCUAGGUGAUUCUCAACCAGUCCAUCCCAUAAAACAUGGACUUUCCAUCAGUUAUGCCUCCUGCCUGAAACAUCCACCAGCUCACCUUUUCUGAUCAUGACUGGCAGCCUUGCUUGGUAACAGGUGGCAAUCUCUUCAAACCUACUCAUCAUGUGCCUCUUCACUGACCUAUUCCACUUCCUGAAGGCUGGAUACCUAGGCUUCUCCACAAGGGAAAGGGUAGAGACAAGACUGGGAAGAAAACUUGCUUCUGAGAUGCUCCGAUUUUCUGCCAGGCCUGAGGAUGGCCAUGACCUGGCCAUUGAGCCCUGAACACAGAAAUCCUGUCCCCAGUGAGCCUAACGAGCUACAGGGAAGAGAAUGACCCACAGUAUUUCUCAGAAAUAGAGGGAGCCAAAUACACAGGAAUGUAUGACCCCGAGACUCAUACAUAAGACAAAGGGACAAAGUCACCCACCCACCCCUCCCUGCUAGUUAGAGCUCCUCUAGUACUCCCAAGUGAUUAUGUUGCAAAAUUAUCCCUCUUAGUUCUGCUCAACUGUUUCCUCAGAGUCCAAAUUUCAG